CGUUUAGACUACCCAGUACGGGGUUGUCGGCUGUCGGUUGUCAUUAGAGAUGGACGUGGUACAGAUUUUUUCUGGUUUGUGGCCCUGCCAACACCAGAAUACUAAGUGUUUUGCCUAAUAAAUCAUUAAGCCGGCUUUUGGCUUGGCCUCUCUAGUUUUACUGCCAAAGUAACAGUUACAGUUUAUAAUAUGUAUUUUGAUAGCCGAGGAUUAGAGUUGGACAUCUAGGAUCCUUUAAAGAAAAUCCCUAUCAUCACUUUAAAACUUUCCCCCACAUGUUUGCGUUUAAUUGGCCUGAAUAGUCGACUUUAGUUUGACAUUUUAACCCAUCCAUUCAUGGGAAUCCGCAUUAAAAUUUUCAAUUCUGACUGCCACGUGUCGUGGCACCUUUUCCACCCAAAGUUGUCAGCCAGUUAAUUCCAGUUCCAGUACUUAGCGGCUUAGACACAUAGCUCGGAGAACAAACAAGGUGAUGGAGGGUAUCCGGGGAGACAGGGCAACUCAAGCGUCCAUCAUUUGAUAAACUGUCUGUCAGUCACUCAGUCAGGUGAGUCAGUGAAGCGUUCAAUCUUCUCACAUUUUUUAGCACCUUUGUCAGCUUAUCCAGCUUGUGUCGAUAGCGUUUGUGCGAAAAAUUUUGCAAUAGUAUCUUCGCUCUGGCUCUCUGACAGAGAUUCGAGAUUCGACAGUCGGGAGAAUGCCUCUGGGGCUUGUCCAAACAAAAUAUACAAUAGUUUUCAGCUCUGUCUCCGUCGGAUGUUGUCACACUUUUUGUCACCCUUCGGUUUGGCUUCCAUCGUUCUGUCGCUCUGUUUUUUUGCUUUUUAGCCAACUUGCCAGAUAAACAACCGACCGACACACCAAACAACCAACCAGCCGGCAAACCGACCGCUUCGGAGCAAAACAACAACGGAUUAAGGAGUUAUAACUUCUAGUACAAGAUGUGGGACCAUAAACCUCGAAAAUACCCAACAACUUUGUAAGCCCUUUGGCUUACACAUGUCGGAGCCAUAAACCGCAGCAAUUAUCCAUCCCUUUCCGGAGGAAUUCGAUUUGAAAGCCCCAUUUGUAGAGCCCAAAGUGCAACACACACUCAUAGCGGACAAAAUAGAGACCCUUUGAGAUGAAGCCGUUGGCUGCAACUCGCGGCCGUUGCGCCUAAGCGCAAGAUAAACUUUGCGUCUUGAAGCGAAACGAAACGAACAGCGGCGGCCCAGAUGCCGGCGACCACCGCAAAAACUUCAAAAUCUUCAACCCGUAACCGCACCACCCACACCCCCACCCGUUCACCACCCCCAUUGGAGUCCUUUGCUCCCGCCAUUUUGCACUUCAACUUGCUGGGGAAUUGUUCUCCCUUUCCGAAUCGCGUCUGUAUGAGUGCAUGCAUGUAUAUGCAUGGAUCUGUAUGUAGGUUGGGAUAUUUUUUUCACUUCUGGGGCAUUUUUGCAUGUUUGUCUCGCAAAUUAUGCGCUGCACACAAACAAAAGAGGAAACAGCGACGUUGCAGCCGCUGCUGCCACUGCCGCUGUUGCUGCUGCACUGUACGGUUAUUUUUUAGCUGCCGCUGAUGAUGGGCUGAAAAUUCAAGGGACUGCGAAUAAAGGACAGUGAAGGCUCGCGAUAAAGGUAUAUCUCUAUCAUCAGACGGUCGAGACUCAUAAAUAAGUCAACAUCUAGGUUAUCGAAAAUGAAAAUAAAUAUACGCAAUGCGUUCUUUUCUUUUAAAAACGCAAAGACAACAUGCUUUAUAUAAAUAUUAAUCAUACGCCAUGUUGUUUGAAAAAUUUUAGUGCUGUUUACAUCAAUAUAUAUAUUUUUCAAUAUAAUCUUACUUAUAAAAAACAUAAUUUUUAAUUUUUUCAAUAAUUUCUUAAUCUUGAAAAAAAAAUUAAUCAUACGCCAUGUGGUCAGUCUCCAAAUAUUUAUUAAAUAGAUCCUUAAAGUCUUCUUAUUUCAAUAUAAUAUUCUCAAUUCAAUAUUAUUUGAUGAAUUUUAGCAAUAUAAAUUACAAUAAUCAGAGUUCUAUGUUUUUUUCUAAAAUAAAAAUUUAUCAUACGCCACGUGGGCCCAUACGCCAAACAAGAGAAACUGUAAAGAAAAUAAUUUCUAAUGAGCUAAAAAUAGUACAAUUACAAUAAAUACAUUGAAAUAAUUUAUACAUUUGCUUACAAUAGAGAUUUUUUAUUAAAAUAGAUUUUCUAAUAAAACAUGCAUUGAAAAAUAUUACUCAUACGCCACGGAGACCGAAUGAAUAAAAGAAAUCGGUUUCCAAAAAACAUUCAAUAAAAUACAUUUUUAAAUAAAUAAUUAAAAAUUAAAAACAUCAACCACAAUUUGUAAAUUAUUAAUUUUAAGUAAUAGAACUGGGAUUACUUUUAUGACUAAUUCUAAGUACACCCUCAUCAAACUGCACUUCAUCAUCUUUCAGCC